rnacentral:rRNA from 1 species
UACAGAGGGUGCGAGCGUUAAUCGGAAUUACUGGGCGUAAAGCGUGCGUAGACGGUUAUUUAAGUCGGAUGUGAAAUCCCCGGGCUCAACCUGGGAACUGCAUUUGUGACUGCACGGCUGGAGUGCGGCAGAGGGGGAUGGAAUUCCGCGUGUAGCAGUGAAAUGCGUAGAUAUGCGGAGGAACACCGAUGGCGAAGGCAAUCCCCUGGGCCUGCACUGACGCUCAUGCACGAAAGCGUGGGGAGCAAACAGG